GUAGGUGAACCUGCGGAAGGAUCAUUACUGAGUUCAUGCCCUCACGGGUAGAUCUCCACCCUUGAAUACUAUACCUUUGUUGCUUUGGCAGGCCGCUUCGGCCACUGGCUCCGGCUGGUGAGUGCCUGCCAGAGACACUCCAACUCUGAAUUAUUGUCGUCUGAGUACUAUACAAUAGUUAAAACUUUCAACAACGGAUCUCUUGGUUCUG
rnacentral:misc_RNA from 1 species